GUCCAAUUCAAUAUGUUUACAUAUGUAUGUUUACUUUUACAAGUUGUACAUAUAUUCCGAUUCGAAUACAUUAUUCUACUAACUAUUUUAGACGCGACCUAGAUAAAUAUGGGGCUCCAUUUAGAUGAAAAAUGGCAAAAAUACUUGAGCGGCACCCACUUUGAUUUGGAUCCGGGCUACAACAAACUUGGUGUCUUGGCUCACUAAAC
rnacentral:lncRNA from 1 species